GACGGAAGGUGCAAGCGUUGCUCGGAAUCACUGGGCGUAAAGGGUGCGUAGGCGGCCGCGCAAGUCUGGCGUGAAAGCCCCGGGCUCAGCCCGGGAAGGGCGCUCGAAACGGCGCGGCUCGAGUGCCGGAGGGGAGAGUGGAAUUCCUGGUGUAGCGGUGAAAUGCGUAGAUAUCAGGAGGAAUACCAGUGGCGAAAAGCGACUCUCUGGGACGGCAACUGACGCUGAGGCACGAAAGCGUGGGGGAGCAAACAGG
rnacentral:rRNA from 1 species